rnacentral:rRNA from 1 species
UGCAAGUCGAGCGAGGGAGCACCUUCGGGUGUGAACUAGCGGCGGACGGGUGAGUAACACGUGGGCAACCUGCCUUACAGAGGGGGAUAGCCUUCCGAAAGGAAGAUUAAUACCGCAUAUUAUGAUUUUUCUGCAUGGGAAAGUCAUGAAAGGAGCAAUCCGCUGUAAGAUGGGCCCGCGGCGCAUUAGCUAGUUGGUGAGGUAAGGGCUCACCAAGGCGACGAUGCGUAGCCGACCUGAGAGGGUGAUCGGCCACAUUGGGACUGAGACACGGCCCAGACUCCUACGGGAGGCAGCAGUGGGGAAUAUUGC